CAAGUUUGGCAGGCAAAAGGGAGGGUUUACAUUCUUUGGCGGCUAGGGGUUCUGCAUUCCUAUAUGAGCUGGUUUCCAGUAAGGGUGUGCUCAGCAGCUUGACUAGGUCGAAAGAGCACACG